AUUGAACGCUGGCGGCAGGCCUAACACAUGCAAGUCGAACGAGUGGCGGACGGGAGAGCAAUGUCUGGGCAACUGCCUGAUGGAGGGGGAUAACUACUGGAAACGGUAGCCAAUACCGCAUACCUUAAGAUGUGCCCAGGUGGGAGUAGCUAGUUGGUGGGGUAACGGCUCACCAAGGCGACGAUCCCUAGCUGGUGUGAGAGGAUGACCAGCCACACGGGAACUGAGACACGGUCCAGACUCCUACGGGAGGCAGCAGUGGGGAAUAUUGCACAAUGGGCGCAAGCCUGAUGCAGCCAUGCCGCGUGUAUGAAGAAGGCCUUCGGGUUGUAAAGUACUUUCAGCGGGGAGGCGUUACCCGCAGAAGAAGCACCGGCUAACUCCGUGCCAGCAGCCGCGGUAAUUC
rnacentral:rRNA from 1 species